rnacentral:rRNA from 1 species
UACAGAGGGGGCAAGCGUUGUUCGGAAUUACUGGGCGUAAAGGGCUCGUAGGUGGCCAACUAAGUCAUACGUGAAAUCCCUCGGCUUAACCGGGGAACUGCGUCUGAUACUGGAUGGCUUGAGUUUGGGAGAGGGAUGCGGAAUUCCAGGUGUAGCGGUGAAAUGCGUAGAUAUCUGGAGGAACACCGGUGGCGAAGGCGGCAUCCUGGACCAAUUCUGACACUGAGGAGCGAAAGCCAGGGGAGCAAACGGG